rnacentral:rRNA from 1 species
CCUACGGUGUGCAGCAGUAGGGGAUAUUGCACAAUGUGGGGAACCCUGAUGCAGCGACGCCGCGUGGGUGAAGGAGUGCUUCGGCAUGUAACGCCCUAUCGGCAGGGAAGAAGCAAGACGGUACCUGACUAAGAAGCCCCGGCUAACUACGUGCCAGCAGCCGCGGUAAUCCGUAGGGGGCGAGCGGUAUCCGGAUUCACUGGGGGUAAAGGGAGCGUAGACGGCCAUGCAAGCCAGGGGUGAAAGCCCGGGGCCCAACCCCGGGACUGCCUUUGGAACUGUGCGGCUAGAGGGCGGGAGGGGCAGGCGGAAUUCCUGGUGUAGCGGUGAAAUGCGUAGAUAUCAGGAGGAACACCGGCGGCGAAGGCAGCUUACUAAACUGUGACUGACAUUGAUGCUCGAAAGUGUGGGUAUCAAACAGGAUUAGAUACCCUAGUAGUC